GAGAAAUCACCAACGAGGUGCAGGAUGCGGGCUUCUGAUUCAUCCCCACAAAUCGGCAUGGCAUAGGAAGUCUGGGUCUAGUGCCCUGGCAUGGGGCUGGUGGCAGAGGAAAGGGGCUAGAAAUCCAGGUCUUCCGUGAUUAACAAGAAUCCCCCUGGAUGCUGUCAGGAACUGAAGCCAGGGGAUGUCCCAUACUGUCAAGCUGUGGAUGGUCCCCAGCUGAGCACGGCACUGCAGAGACCAGGCUGUAGUCCCUGCCAGCAGGCAGGGAGUUUAACCCCAACCCAGCACCCCCAGCUUGUCUGGGCUCA